CAAGCUGUGAUGGGGAGGGAAAUAAUAGUACCGAAGUUCCUGAUGUCACACUGCCGAGAAAAGCUUCUAGUGAGAAAACAGCGGCCCGUACCGCAAACCGACACAGGUAGUCGAGGAGAGAAUCCUAAGGUGAGCGAGAGAACUCUCGUUAAGGAACUCGGCAAAAUGACCCCGUAACUUCGGGAGAAGGGGUGCUGAUCAUACGAUCAGCCGCAGUGAAUAGGCCCAAGCGACUGUUUAUCAAAAACACAGGUCUCUGCAAAAUCGUAAGAUGAAGUAUAGGGGCUGACGCCUGCCCGGUGCUGGAAGGUUAAGAGGAGUGCUUAGCGCAAGCGAAGGUACGAAUUGAAGCCCCAGUAAACGGCGGCCGUAACUAUAACGGUCCUAAGGUAGCGAAAUUCCUUGUCGGGUAAGUUCCGACCCGCACGAAAGGCGUAACGAUUUGGGCACUGUCUCAACGAGAGACUCGGUGAAAUUUUAGUACCUGUGAAGAUGCAGGUUACCCGCGACAGGACGGAAAGAC
rnacentral:rRNA from 1 species